CGCGUAGGAAACUGCCUAGUAGUGGGGAUAGGCCCAGAGAAAUUUGGAUUAAUACCGCAUACGCCCUACGGGGAAAGGGGGCGUUCGGCUCUCGCUAUUAGAUGUGCCUGCGUAAGAUUAGCUUGUUGGUGACGGUAAUGGCUCACCAAGGCGACGAUCUUUAGCUGGGUCUGAGAGGAUGAUCAGCCACACUGGAACUGAGACACGGUCCAGACUCCUACGGGAGGCAGCAGUGGGGAAUAUUGCACAAUGGGCGCAAGCCUGAUGCAGCCAUACCGCGUGUGUGAAGAAGGCUUUCGG
rnacentral:rRNA from 1 species